GGAAGGAUCAUUAUUGAAUAAACUUGAGCAGGCUGUUGCUGGCCUCCCUUCUUGGGAGGUAUGUGCACGCUUGUCAUCUUUAUUUCUCCAACUGUGCACAUCUUGUAGACUUGGAAUUUUUUGAAUUGUUCGAUUGAGGACUGCUGUGCCUUCAAAGAAAGUCAGCUUUGCCUUGCAUUUCCAAGUCUAUGUUAUUUUCACAACCUCUGAAAUAUGUUUUAGAAUGUUUAAUUGGGUCAUUUGUACCUAUAAAAGUUAUAUACAACUUUCAGCAACGGAUCUCUUGGCUCUCGCAUCGAUGAAGAACGCAGCGAAAUGCGAUAAGUAAUGUGAAUUGCAGAAUUCAGUGAAUCAUCGAAUCUUUGAACGCACCUUGCGCUCCUUGGUAUUCCGAGGAGCAUGCCUGUUUGAGUGUCAUUAAGCUCUCAACUACACUAGUUCUAUAGUGUGGCUUGGAUAUGGGGGUUUUAUUUUGCAGGCUUUGGAAACAAAGUCGGCUCCCCUAAAAUGUAUUAGUAGUAUCUGAGCAGAAACUACCACAGGUGUGAUAAUUAUCUAUGCCUUGGUGUACUGUAUAAACAGAUUACACUGCUUCUAACAAGUGAAGCCAGUUGGCCACAUUUGACAUAUUUGACCUCAAAUCAGG
rnacentral:rRNA from 1 species